CGUAGUGUCGCGUGAGUUAAUGCUGUUAUCGCGAGAGGUCGCCAUUGAAGCCCCGGCGUUGAACAGCUGCAGCUCGUAUCAAGUCCGUAUUUUAUAUUUUAAACUGCUAGCUACACACCUAUGCUUAAAUCCAAACGGACUAAACCAAGUGGAAACGCUUUGGUAGAUGCCACGUGCAAAGUCAUGCCACCAUCAAUGGGAAUGGCACAUUGGACACGUGGCUUUCAACUCCAGCGAGGUGGCGGCACGGAUCUCUGCAUGUCUGACUGACAUCUCCCAGUGGAUGUCCGCCCAUCACCUGAAGAUCAACCCCGACAAGACUGAACUACUUCUCUUCCCUGGAAAAAACUCGCCCACUCAGGACCUGACUGUUAACUUUGGCGAACACCGUUAACAUCAGGAGAAUACGACCCCUUCUCACUCAGAAGGCGGCGCAGGUACAGAUUCAGGCUCUUGUCAUCUCUCGCCUCGACUACUGUAACUCUCUGCUGGCGGGUCUCCCUGCUACCGCCAUACGACCACUGCAGCUCAUCCAGAAUGCAGCAGCUCGACUGGUCUUCAACCUUCUGAAAUACUCCCACACCACACCGCUUCUCCGUUCUCUUCAUUGGUUACUAGUGGCUCCCCGCAUCCAGUUCAAAGCAUUGGUACUGACGUACCACGCUGUGAAUGGAUCGGGACCAGUCUACAUCCGGGACAUGGUUAAACCCUACAUCCCAACCCACACACUCCGAUCUGCAUCUGCCACGCUGCUUGUUCCUCCCUCACUGAGAGAAAAGCACUCGACGAGAUCGCGACUCUUUGCUGUCCUGGCUCCCAGAUGGUGGAACGAGCUCUCUGAUGACAUCAGGACUGCAGAGAGCCUCUCCAUCUUCCGUCGAAAACUCAAGACACACCUUUUUAGACUCUACCUUGACUAAAACACUAGCAAACCGUAGCACUAACAAAUGGUAGCACUUAAAUUGUACUUAUAAUGCCACUUAUCUUUAACAUGUUUUGAAACUGCUUAGUUAAUGAAAAAUGUACUUUCUUGUUACUUGUUCUUCUGAGUUUGUAUCUCUAUGUGGAAAUGCACUUAUUGUACGUCGCUUUGGAUAAAAGCGUCAGCUAAAUGACAUGUAAUGUAAAAGCCUUCUUCCUGUGUUCUUACAACAGCAUUCCAUUACAUAUCGAUGUAAUAAUUUGGCCUUCUUUUUUUCUUCCAGCACACGGCACAGGUUGGCGUCACAAUCAUGGCAAAGUUGACUGGACCACAGCGGAAAAUUAUCCUUCCAGAGAAGAAGUUAUUUACUUCUACAACGAAUGGAAGAGUUACAACUUCCAGAUGACAGCUCUCCGCUCAUCCUUCUGGGCAACUUGAACAUCCGACAGA